CUCCACUCGCACGCACGACUCUCCUGCCCUCCACUCGCACCCGACUCACUGCCCUCGUUCGCGGCCGCCCUCCAUCCCUUCGCCGCCGCCAAGACCCCGCCGGAUCUCACCGCCGCCGAUCUCCUCGAGAAGACCCUGUCGGAUCUCACCGUCGCCGAUCUCCUCGAGAAGACCCUGCCGGAUCUCACCGCCGUCGAUCUCCUCGCGAAGAUCAGGCCGAAUCUCGCUGCCGCCGUAACUCCAUAAAGCCGCCGCCGCCGAUCCCCUCCAGAAAACCCGUCGAUCCCCUCCGGAAGACCCCGCCGGAUCUUGCGUCGGGGCCACGGUUCUGGAUCGCCGUCGCAGGGCGGUUCCAACCAGAGCCGGCGGCCUUGAGGAGAGGAGCUCGACGAGCGGGCAGGGUGACCCCGUGCCUUGGAGACGGCGACCCUCAACCCCUUGCUGCUGUGGUGCACUGGGCACAUCUGUGACGAGGAGGAGGCGAGCCACAAUUCAUCACCUUCCUCGUCUCUCUCAUGGCUGUGCACAAGGAUGUCUGCACCCCGAGCCGAGCUCUGUUUGACCGGAGGACAAGCAGAGGAAAGGCGAACAGGGGUGAUGACGUGGCUCCUGAGCAAGGUGAACAUCGCCUUUAAGGCGAGCGGUGGCGGCACCUUAUCUUGGGCCCCUACAAUAAGUAAACUCAACAUGCGUGAUUCUGAUUAGAGGCAACCGGAUCGUUAUUGAACAUACUGAUGAUUCCUGUUGUGUAUUCUCAAGGAAUGGUCAGGUUUAGUACUGUAACUAUUUUCUUAUCAAAUAUAUUUGGGUGGUGCUCAAAAUGCAGAGCUGAAAAGCAAGAAACGUAAAGCCACCUCUGAAGAUAAGUUCACCAUGCCUCCCAGAGUGUCACCCCGCUUCGUUGAACUUAAUGGAAUAAGAUCAGAUCAGAAUAACCUUUGUAAACUAGGCAACUGAAUCAUUUCAUUGUUGCUUGUCCAUGUAACUAAGAACUAUCAUUUGGGUACCAAGUUCCACUUCAGGCCAGGAAAAAUUCUUAUAACUUCAAAACGGCAACGGAUGCACCAUUGUCUUCAGGUCUGGUAUGUAUAUUUAAUCAAUCAAAACAAAAGUUUUUGAUAAUAAUCAAGAAUGAUGAAAUUUUGGACUUUAGACUAUAUCAGUGACAAUUUUCAUGAUAAAUUACAGAAAGUUUGUAUCUAGGGGAUAUCUUCAUGUCGACUUACGUUUAAUAUUAGGAUAUGUCCCCUCAUGUGCCAGUUUUGAGAUAUCUUAGAAGUUCACGAUCUGGUUUUAGUUCCUGCAUCUUUUUCCACUUUCUGUAGAGAUUUGAGUAAAACUUAAAUGUCUAGAUGCAUAUAAGCUUGUGAGUUAAUUAAUGCUAACUUGAUGGUCCAAACUAAAUUCUGCAAAUAUGACCAUGACAGAAAGAUAAAUGGAGGUUUAGAGGCAGAGUGGAUGCCUGCACCAACUUUAUAGGUUGAACUACGUUUUGCUAGAUGACUCAAAUUUCAGAACACGAGCAUUAUUUUUUGGGAAUGCAGUUAACAACAGAAUCAAGUCAAGAUGAAAAAUGGGGAACUGUUCAAUAUUGAGUUUAAUUCCUUUCUUGCAGAGCACCAGAGAUGAGUGAGGAGAUUAUCAAAUAUUGAAUAUAAUUCCUUUCUUGUAUCCAUGGUCGAUCUAUUGUACUCUGUCGUUUUCCAUAGUGAGAACGAGACUGCUCUAUCGCUUGCUUAUUUAAGAUCAUGGUAAUCAUUUUUGCUAGCCUAUGUGUAUUCUAAUUUUCUCCCCUUACUGUUGCAGCCUUGCAGGUUGGAGUGCAGCUGUCAGAUAUCUUUCUUUCCUUGGGAUAGUUGGAAUGGAAUACUAUGACUAGAUAUACAAUGGUAUUGUUAUCAGUGUUCGGCCUUCAAUGAUUUCGGUGCAGCAUGUCUAGACCAUCAACGGUAAUUUGAGCUCCUUAGUGAAGUAGGUUUGUAAGGCGUUGCUUCAACUCAAGAAAAUCAAUGGCCACAAUUGGGAAGUUGACUGACAAUCCAAAGAGAGUGCCAAUUUUCAAUCUCGUGUUUAGGUGCUUACAUCAAUCUCGUGCAUAGUCUCGAUCACCACCACCGGGGCAGCUACUUCUACUGGCAGGGGCUGGGCGCCGCCGUGAGGAUGCUAUCACCCAUGCACGCAGUGAUGGCAUGGUGGCCGAAGAAGGCCGUCUUCUGGGGAGCCGCGCGCUGGCCGCCAUAUCCACCCGCGGCCACACCAACAAGACAGUAAUAUGCAGAGAAGGUUCACCUGACAUAAUGACCAACAAGAGCAAGUUGUUUUUUCUUGAUGAAAAUGAUAGCUACCACUUGAUGAGAUUUAUCAAUACAAGCAUUUCCUCUAAUUUUAUCUGUAGGUAAUCCUUUAAGCUCCAAGGAAAUAGCUGAAUGUCACUACCAAAUUAAAUUACCUUUGUACAGAAAAUACGUGGAGUUAUGUGAUCUGCAAGUGAGCAGCUCUCUCACCAACGAGUUAAUAACAUUAAAAUAGGUAGCAGUACCAAUUUUUCCCAGUAAAAGUGAUUUUUUGUUUUCUUCAUUCAAUUAACCAUCGUUUUGAUCGAUGAUGCAUAAUAGAAAUAUGCAUUCCUUUACUGUUUUUUCUCCAUACGAUCCUUUUAUCACUCAUUAAAAUUUUGCAAGUUCUUGCCAUACCCGAAGCUUCCAUUAUCGCUGACUUCGCCGGAAUGCCUGCACCCAUGUUCCAGGUGCCAAUAAUGAAUCCUGUGUUUAGGUGCUUCUACAUGAAUCCCGUGCAUAGUAUCGAUCAACACCACUGGGGCAGCUACUUCUGCUGGCAGUAGCACUUUCCUCUGACAUGUGAUUUUUUGUCAUUGUGUGCUUCUACAUUAAUCCUGGGUCGUUAUAUUUAGGUUCUCUAAGGCCUAAACUGUGACUUUUCUUAAUUGUAUGUGUUACAACUUGUUUUACUAUACUAAUUUAUUCAGUUGCACCAAUACAAGGUGUGGAGAGUUUGGGUUCGGAAGGUAGUUAGCCUACAAGAGAAGGGGGUUUAGUAUUUUCUUGAUGGCACAUGUUGGAAGGUGCCAUGUUUAUUUCUCUUAUCUUAUGGGUUUCCUCACAAUUGUUUUCUUACAAUGUGCACAAUUUUGCAACAAUAAACAUUGGCUGGGGAUAUACACUUGAAUAGAUGAUCUGGUUACAUAGCAUGCACCCCGAGGAGUUUCAGGAAUUAUGAUGUGUUGGUUUUAUUUGGUUGAAACCAUUAAUGGUUGUCUGAGUUACUUGACUAGGACUGUUUGGGCAUGAAGUGUGUGCUCUAUAACUCCUUCCUAUUGGAUAUUUUUGCUCUCCUUAUUGCACAUGUUCCUGAGAAAAGUGAAGUACUUAUGUCGAUAAGAUGUUGAUUCUCAAAACUCUUAACAUCUUAUAGUGUAUCGGUAGUGUUAAAACAAAAAUAGCGAUUACUUUUCUCGUGUUAUCGUCUAUUGUGUUUCUUCUGUCCUUGAUUCCAAAGGAACUGUAGUAAUUACUUUGCCUAAAGUUUGUGUUAUUUCCAUUUACGAUGUGUUCAACUCAAUUGUGUUACUAAAAUACUUUUAUCGGCGGAUAUUUAUCAAGAAGUAACAUGUCACCACUUUGAAUACAACCUUAGUUUUACAGGCAUUAGUUUUCUAAUUAAAUGUUGUCGUUGUAAGCAUCAAAACUAUCUUCUAGAUUCACAACUUAUGCUUAUGCCUCCGUUUAAAAAAAUAGCUUCUACAGUCACAGCCUUGCUGGGAGCCAGGGUGAGAAACUAAAUGUCAACAUGGUUGUGCAGGUCUGCAGGAGGUGCCUUUGAGAACUUGAUCAGCUACUCGAGCUUCAUUGUCAGCGAAGUCUCCACUGGGUUGCCCAGAUCUGUCUUGAAUUGCUUCAUUGAUGACAAUUUGGAGAAGGCUCCGCUGACACUUACAAAGGAUGUUUUCCUUUGUUGGAAAGACGAGGAUACGCUGGAGAUAGACAUGGGGUGGUAAGAAAAUGAUGAGUUCCUGAUGAUAUUAUGCUUGCUGGUCUAAACCUACAUGUAUUAUGUUAGUUUGUUGUUAAGAGUAUCUUGAAAAUAUAAAGCCACUGGGUGGCCAGGCAUUCUAUACUA